UACGUGGGAGGGCAAGCGUUGUCCGGAAUUACUGGGCGUAAAGGGCUCGUAGGCGGCCAACUAAGUCAGACGUGAAAUCCCUCGGCUUAACCGGGGAACUGCGUCUGAUACUGGUUGGCUUGAAUCCGGGAGAGGGAUGUGGAAUUCCAGGUGUAGCGGUGAAAUGCGUAGAUAUCUGGAGGAACACCGGUGGCGAAGGCGGCAUCCUGGACCGGUAUUGACGCUGAUGCGCGAAAGCCAGGGGAGCAAACGGG
rnacentral:rRNA from 1 species